rnacentral:rRNA from 1 species
AGCGUAUAUUAAAGUUGUUGCAGUUAAAAAGCUCGUAGUUGGAUUUCGGAAGGUCCUUAGCAGUCCGCCCCUUCGGGGAGCGGGUUGCUGGCCUCCUAUGUUCCUAACGGUCCUCAUCCGCGAGGGUGGGGAAUCAACCGCUAGGAUCGUUUACUUUGAGGAAAUUAGAGUGUUCAAAGCAGGCGUAACUCGCCUCCGAAUACGUUAGCAUGGGAUAAUGGAAUACGACUUCGGUCUUGUUUCGUUGGUUUCGCUUGGCUGAAGUAAUGAUUGAUAGGGACAGUUGGGGGCAUUAGUAUUUAGUUGUCAGAGGUGAAAUUCUAGGUUUUACUAAAGACUGACCAAUGCGAAAGCAUUUGCCAAGGAUGUUUUCAUUAAUCAAGAACGAAAGUAGGGGGAUCGAAGACGAUCAGAUACCGUCGUAGUCUCUACCGUAAACUAUGCCGACCAGGGAUCCGGAGAGUUUGCAUGGAUGACUCCCCGGGCACCUUGUGAGAAAUCAUAAGUGUUUGGGUUUUGGGGGGAGUAUGGUCGCAAGGCUGAAACUUAAAGGAAUUGACGGAAGGGCACCACCAGGAGUGGAACCUGCGGCUUAAUUUGACUCAACACGGGGAAACUUACGAGGUCAGGACACUGUGAGGAUUGACAGAUUGAAAGCUCUUUCUUGAUUCAGUGGGUGGUGGUGCAUGGCCGUUCUUAGUUGGUGGAGUGAUUUGUCUGGUUAAUUCCGUUAACGAACGAGACCUUAAC